AUUGAACGCUGGCGGCAUGCUUUACACAUGCAAGUCGAACGGCAGCGCGGGCUUCGGCCUGGCGGCGAGUGGCGAACGGGUGAGUAAUGCAUCGGAACGUGCCCAGUAGUGGGGGAUAGCCCGGCGAAAGCCGGAUUAAUACCGCAUACGACCUGAGGGUGAAAGCGGGGGACCGAAAGGCUUCGCGCUAUUGGAGCGGCCGAUGUCGGAUUAGCUAGUUGGUGGGGUAAAGGCUUACCAAGGCGACGAUCCGUAGCUGGUCUGAGAGGACGACCAGCCACACUGGGACUGAGACACGGCCCAGACUCCUACGGGAGGCAGCAGUGGGGAAUUUUGGACAAUGGGGGCAACCCUGAUCCAGCCAUGCCGCGUGCGAGAAGAAGGCCUUCGGGUUGUAAACCGCUUUUGUUCGGGAAGAAAUCCUCUGGGCUAAUACCCCGGGGGGAUGACGGUACCGGAAGAAUAAGCACCGGCUAACUACGUG
rnacentral:rRNA from 1 species